rnacentral:rRNA from 1 species
UACGUAGGGGGCGAGCGUUGUCCGGAUUCAUUGGGCGUAAAGAGCUCGUAGGCGGUUCGGUAAGUCGGGUGUGAAAUCUCCGUGCUCAACACGGAGCGGCCACCUGAUACUGCCGUGACUCGAGUCCGGUAGGGGAGUGUGGAAUUCCCGGUGUAGCGGCGAAAUGCGCAGAUAUCGGGAGGAACACCGGUGGCGAAGGCGGUUCUCUGGGCCUGUACUGACGCUGAGGAGCGAAAGCGUGGGGAGCGAACAGG